CGAGCACCUCUUUAAAGUGACAGUACCUCUGUUCCUGCAGGGAAGACAAGCGCUUCCCCAGAGCUGGACGAGCAGAUCGACUUCCUGUCAGCUAUCAUCAGUGAACAGCGGCAGACUGAGACCAGGCUGCCGGCUCCGCCCUCUCAGGAUGUCACCAACCACGCUUCUAAGGGUGCACUUAUCCCCACCCACAGCCUGGAUACAGCAGAGCAACCGACCAAUCGGAGCACCUUGUUCAUCACC